rnacentral:rRNA from 1 species
CCUACGGGAGGCUGCAGUGGGGAAUUUUGGACAAUGGGCGCAAGCCUGAUCCAGCAAUGCCGCGUGAGUGAAGAAGGCCUUCGGGUUGUAAAGCUCUUUUGUCAGGGAAGAAACGGGAUUGGAUAAUACCUAGUCCUAAUGACGGUACCUGAAGAAUAAGCACCGGCUAACUACGUGCCAGCAGCCGCGGUAAUACGUAGGGUGCAAGCGUUAAUCGGAAUUACUGGGCGUAAAGCGUGCGCAGGCGGUUUUGUAAGUCUGACGUGAAAGCCCCGGGCUCAACCUGGGAAUUGCGUUGGAGACUGCAAGGCUUGAAUCUGGCAGAGGGGGGUAGAAUUCCACGUGUAGCAGUGAAAUGCGUAGAGAUGUGGAGGAACACCGAUGGCGAAGGCAGCCCCCUGGGUCAAGAUUGACGCUCAUGCACGAAAGCGUGGGGAGCAAACAGGAUUAGAUACCCCAGUAGUCG